UACGUAGGUCCCGAGCGUUGUCUGGAUUUAUUGGGCGUAAAGCGAGCGCAGGUGGUUUAUUAAGUCUGGUGUAAAAGGCAGUGGCUCAACCAUUGUAUGCAUUGGAAACUGGUAGACUUGAGUGCAGGAGAGGAGAGUGGAAUUCCAUGUGUAGCGGUGAAAUGCGUAGAUAUAUGGAGGAACACCGGUGGCGAAAGCGGCUCUCUGGCCUGUAACUGACACUGAGGCUCGAAAGCAUGGGGAGCAAACAGG
rnacentral:rRNA from 1 species